CCAUCCAGCUCAACACCAUCUACGGUUCUCAGUAUGGAUGGGACGUGAGUAACUACAGCUUGGCGGAUGCCGUGGUGGAUUCUGGGAAGGCGAGUGACCUGUCCGUGUGCAGCUGGCCAAUCGAGCCCAUCCAGUGGACGCCCUUCCCCCUGCUACAGCAACUACACACACAGAACACGUUGAGGUCUUCUCGUCCACGCUCUUACUGUGAAGGAAUGGAGCUGGUGGAUCUGAGAGGAGCUGGACGUCUUAACGAGGAGCAUCUUAAC